AACCUAGCACACCUGCGGUGUGUACCUGCGGAAGGAUCAUUAACUAUAUUACGGGGGGCCGGACCCAAGGUACAGCGUACUCCGCUUGCCUUGACCUGCCCUGUCUGAAUAUUCUACCCAUGUCUUUUGCGUACUUAUUGUUUCCUUGGUGGGCUUGCCUGCCAUUAGGACAACCAUAAAAACCUUUUGUAAUUGCAGUCAGCGUCAGAAAUAACUUAAUAGUUACAACUUUUAACAACG
rnacentral:misc_RNA from 1 species